ACCAUGCAAGUCGACGAUGAACCACUUCGGUGGGGAUUAGUGGCGAACGGGUGAGUAACACGUGGGCAAUCUGCCCUGCACUCUGGGACAAGCCCUGGAAACGGGGUCUAAUACCGGAUACUGAUCCGUCUGGGCAUCCAGACGGUUCGAAAGCUCCGGCGGUGCAGGAUGAGCCCGCGGCCUAUCAGCUUGUUGGUGAGGUAGUGGCUCACCAAGGCGACGACGGGUAGCCGGCCUGAGAGGGCGACCGGCCACACUGGGACUGAGACACGGCCCAGACUCCUACGGGAGGCAGCAGUGGGGAAUAUUGCACAAUGGGCGAAAGCCUGAUGCAGCGACGCCGCGUGAGGGAUGACGGCCUUCGGGUUGUAAACCUCUUUCAGCAGGGAAGAAGCGAAAGUGACGGUACCUGCAGAAGAAGCGCCGGCUAACUACGUGCCAGCAGCCGCGGUAAUACGUAGGGCGCGAGCGUUGUCCGGAAUUAUUGGGCGUAAAGAGCUCGUAGGCGGCUUGUCACGUCGGUUGUGAAAGCCCGGGGCUUAACCCCGGGUCUGCAGUCGAUACGGGCAGGCUAGAGUUCGGUAGGGGAGAUCGGAAUUCCUGGUGUAGCGGUGAAAUGCGCAGAUAUCAGGAGGAACACCGGUGGCGAAGGCGGAUCUCUGGGCCGAUACUGACGCUGAGGAGCGAAAGCGUGGGGAGCGAACAGGAUUA
rnacentral:rRNA from 1 species